GCCUAAAGCCUAGCCCCACACAACCCAAAUGACAACAACAGAUGUCUACAAUAUCAAUAAAACAUUCUACACUAUUAGUAGAGGCGAUUGAAAAAUGUCUUGGAGCUUUAGAAACAGUACCGCAAGGGAAAGGUGAAAUAGCAAUGAAAUAAAUCUUAAGUAAUACAAAGCAGAGAUUUUACCUCGUACCUUUUGCAUCAUGGUUUAGUCAGUCCACCCAAGCAGAAAGAAAUUUUAGUUUGACCCCCCGAAACUAGACGAGCUACUUCAAAACAGCCUUAAGAGCAAACCCGUCUCUGUUGCAAAAGAGUGGGAAGAUUUUCAAGUAGCGGUGAUAUACCUAUCGAGUCUAGAGAUAGCUGGUUAUUCAGGAAAAGGAUAUAAGUCCAACCUUAAGUCUUCUAAUGACUACUAACAUAACCACAGACUUAAGAGUCAUUCAAAUAAGGUACAGCUUAUUUGAAACAGGAUACAACCUCAACCACAGGGUAAUGUAUACUUUACUGUAACAAAGUGGGCCUAAGAGCAGCCACCUUUUAAAAAGCGUUAAAGCUUCACUACAAUUCCAUCUCAAUAUCAACAACCAAUCAAAACCCUUAACUACUACUGAAUGACUUCAUAAUUAUAUGAAAGACCUCAUGCUAAAACUAGUAACAAGAAGCUAACCCUUCUCCUAAUUGCAAGUGUAAGUCGACAUGGAUCCCCCGUCGACAAUUACCGUCUAUGAAACCACUAUAGUAACUCCACCAAGAAAACUCUAUUACCACAUGUGAGCACAAUCACUUGAAUAAUAACGUUAACCUUACACCAGAGCAACCUAGGAAAGAUUAAAAGAAGAGGAAGGAACUCGGCAAACAACUAACCCCGCCUGUUUACCAAAAACAUCGCCUCCUGUCAAGUAAUAGGAGGUCCCGCCUGCCCAGUGACUAUACGUUCAACGGCCGCGGUACCCUAACCGCGCGAAGGUAGCGCAAUCACUUGUCCUUUAAAUGUGGACUAGUAUGAACGGCAUAACGAGGGUUAUACUGUCUCCCUCUUCCAAUCAGUGAAACUGAUCUCCCCGUGAAGAAGCGGGGAUAACAUUAUAAGACGAGAAGACCCCAUGGAGCUUUAAACCCAAAGUCAACUGCUGCCGCAUAUAUCCCCAAAGCUAUAGCAGAUUUCUGUCACUUUGGUUUUCGGUUGGGGUGACCGCGGAGCAAAAUAAAACCUCCACGAUGAACGGAACUAACUCCUAAUCCAAGAGCUACAACUCAAAGAAUCAAAACUUUGACAUAAAUUGAUCCAAAUAAUUUGAUCAACGAACCAAGUUACCCUGGGGAUAACAGCGCAAUCCAUUUUUAGAGCUCCUAUCGACAAAUGGGUUUACGACCUCGAUGUUGGAUCAGGGUAUCCCAGUGGUGUAGCCGCUACUAAAGGUUCGUUUGUUCAAC
rnacentral:rRNA from 1 species